CUUAGACGGAGAGCACCACGAUGGAU
rnacentral:piRNA from 1 species